rnacentral:rRNA from 1 species
CCUAUGUCGGAUUAGCUAGUUGGUGAGGUAACGGCUCACCAAGGCGACGAUCCGUAGCUGGUCUGAGAGGAUGAUCAGCCACAUCGGGACUGAGACACGGCCCGAACUCCUACGGGAGGCAGCAGUGGGGAAUAUUGGACAAUGGGGGAAACCCUGAUCCAGCCAUGCCGCGUGUGUGAAGAAGGCCCUCGGGUUGUAAAGCACUUUCAGCGAGGAAGAACGCCUAGCGGUUAAUACCCGCUAGGAAAGACAUCACUCGCAGAAGAAGCACCGGCUAACUCCGUGCCAGCAGCCGCGGUAAUACGGAGGGUGCAAGCGUUAAUCGGAAUUACUGGGCGUAAAGCGCGCGUAGGUGGCUUGAUAAGCCGGUUGUGAAAGCCCCGGGCUCAACCUGGGAACGGCAUCCGGAACUGUCAAGCUAGAGUGCAGGAGAGGAAGGUAGAAUUCCCGGUGUAGCGGUGAAAUGCGUAGAGAUCGGGAGGAAUACCAGUGGCGAAGGCGGCCUUCUGGACUGACACUGACACUGAGGUGCGAAAGCGUGGGUAGCAAACAGGAUUAGAUACCCUGGUAGUCCACGCCGUAAACGAUGUCGACCAGCCGUUGGGUGCCUAGCGCACUUUGUGGCGAAGUUAACGCGAUAAGUCGACCGCCUGGGGAGUACGGCCGCAAGGUUAAAACUCAAAUGAAUUGACGGGGGCCCGCACAAGCGGUGGAGCAUGUGGUUUAAUUCGAUGCAACGCGAAGAACCUUACCUACUCUUG